AGUGAGGCUGUAGAGGCACAAACACAGACCAGCUGCAGGCUCUGGUCCAGGCCACCGGGGGGCGCUGCCACCAGAGACUGUAUAUGAACAGCUGCUACCUGAUGCCAGUCGGUCUGAACGGAGUCCUGCAGAAGGCUGACCCUGUUCCUACCUGUCCUUAAACCAGUGUGAUGUCAUGAGGUCCUGUCUGACCCCUGAGGACCACAGGCCCAGGUGCAGUGUGGGUAAUGGCGGCCUGCUGGGCGCUCCAGAGUUUUUCCCAGGAUGCCGAGUGUUGGCGAGGAGGGAGGAGGAC